GCUUGAUCCCGAAAAAUGCAGAGAAUCCAUCUUCAUCCUGUUUUUAAUUAAAUUUUCCAUUUGUUCAUAACGCAGGUGGGAUCCGAUGCAAACACUGGAGAGCUGAAAUCUAGAGUACCAGCUUCCACUUCUUGUCCUGGACUUGACUGAAAGCUUUUCUGAGAGACACCUACCUCUUCUGAAGAAGAAAUCUCCGAGCACCACACCUCACCAUUUUUACUGGAACAACAAAACAUGCUUUCUGCUAAUUUUAAUAACUGGAAUAAAAGCACACAUGACAGCAGAGUCACAAAAUAAGACAGAAAAUGCUUUACAAUGAGAAUGGGGGGAACCAAGAACUGGAUAAGGAAAAUGAAGAAUAAAGGUGUGAG